UCAGACGAUGCGUCAUGCAUAUCAAUAAGCGGAGGAAAAGAAACUAACAAGGAUUCCCUUAGUAACGGCGAGUGAGGCGGGAAGAGCUCAAAUUUGAAAUCUUCAAGGUUUUACCUUGACGAAUUGUAGUUUAAAGAAGUGUUUUCUGUUGAAGUUUUGGUAAAAGUUCUUUGGAAUAGGACAUCAUAGAGGGUGAGAAUCCCGUAUUUGACCAUUAUUUUCAGCUGUGUGAUACACUUUCAAAGAGUCGGAUUGUUUGGGAAUGCAGUCCAAAAUGGGUGGUAAAUUUCAUCUAAAGCUAAAUAUUGGCGAGAGACCGAUAGCGAACAAGUACCGUGAGGGAAAGAUGAAAAGAACUUUGAAAAGAGAGUUAAACAGUACGUGAAAUUGUCAAAAGGGAAGCGUUUGACACCAGUGUUGUUUUCUCGAAAAUCAAUUAAAAAGAGUUGGAUUUUGUGUUGUAUUGACCUUAUCAGCUUGCUUCACUCUUUUCCUGCUUUUUUUAAUGCACUUUUCGUUUAACAAGUCAACAUCAGUUUCUUUUGUUGUAAAAGGGUCAUUGGAAGGUGGCUUUCUCUUCGGAGAAAGUGUUUAUAGCCUUUGAUCUCUGCAAUCGGAGAGACUGAGGUCUGCAGCGUAGAUCCUUCGGGGUUAGAUACAUUUGUGCUAAGUUAUAGCCUUUCAUAGACAACUUGUUGACUAUGAUCGGUCUCGUAAUUUACUCGCGAGUGCUAUUUUACCUACGCUUAGGAUGUUGAUAUGCAUGACUGAUAU
rnacentral:rRNA from 1 species